rnacentral:rRNA from 1 species
UGGGGAAUUUUUGGCAAUGGGGGCAACCCUGACCAAGCAACGCCGCGUGGGUGAUGAAGUCUCUUGGGACGUAAAACCCUUUCGACGGGGAAGAAAACCGCAAGGUUUGACGGUACCCGUAGAAGAAGCCCCGGCUAACUCCGUGCCAGCAGCCGCGGUAAUACGGGGGGGGCAAGCGUUGUUCGGAAUUACUGGGCGUAAAGGGCGCGUAGGCGGUGCGCUAAGUUAGAUGUGAAAACUCUGGGCUCAACCCAGAGCCUGCAUCUAAAACUGGCGUGCUAGAGUUCUGGAGGGGGUAGCGGAAUUCCUGGUGUAGCGGUGAAAUGCGUAGAUAUCAGGAGGAACACCGGUGGCGAAGGCGGCUACCUGGACAGAAACUGACGCUGAGGCGCGAAAGCUAGGGGAGCAAACAGGAUUAGAUACCCCCGUAGUCC